CUCCAGACUCCUACGGGAGGCAGCAGUGGGGAAUAUUGGGCAAUGGGCGCAAGCCUGACCCAGCAACGCCGCGUGAAGGAAGAAGGCUUUCGGGUUGUAAACUUCUUUUCUCAGGGACGAAGCAAGUGACGGUACCUGAGGAAUAAGCCACGGCUAACUACGUGCCAGCAGCCGCGGUAAUACGUAGGUGGCAAGCGUUAUCCGGAUUUACUGGGUGUAAAGGGCGUGUAGGCGGGAAAGCAAGUCAGAUGUGAAAACCAUGGGCUCAACCUGUGGCCUGCAUUUGAAACUGUAUUUCUUGAGUGCUGGAGAGGCAAUCGGAAUUCCGUGUGUAGCGGUGAAAUGCGUAGAUAUACGGAGGAACACCAGUGGCGAAGGCGGAUUGCUGGACUGUAACUGACGUUGAGGCUCGAAAGCGUGGGGAGCAAACAGGAUUAGAUACCCGUGUA
rnacentral:rRNA from 1 species